UACGUAGGGUGCAAGCGUUUAAUCGGAAUUACUGGGCGUAAAGCGUGCGCAGGCGGUUUUGUAAGUCUGUCGUGAAAGCCCCGGGCUCAACCUGGGAAUUGCGAUGGAGACUGCAAGGCUAGAGUGUGUCAGAGGGGGGGUAGAAUUCCACGUGUAGCAGUGAAAUGCGUAGAUAUGUGGAGGAACACCGAUGGCGAAGGCAGCCCCCUGGGAUAACACUGACGCUGAGGCGCGAAGGCGUGGGGAGCGAACGGG
rnacentral:rRNA from 1 species